AGAGUUUGAUCCUGGCUCAGGACGAACGCUGGCGGCGUGCCUAAUACAUGCAAGUAGAACGCUGAAGACUUUAGCUUGCUAAAGUUGGAAGAGUUGCGAACGGGUGAGUAACGCGUAGGUAACCUGCCUACUAGCGGGGGAUAACUAUUGGAAACGAUAGCUAAUACCGCAUAAUACAGAGAACCGCAUGGUUCUUUGUUGAAAGGCGCUUCUGGUGUCGCUGAUGGAUGGACCCGCGGUGCAUUAGCUAGACGGUGAGGUAACGGCUCACCGUGGCAAUGAUGCAUAGCCGACCUGAGAGGGUGAUCGGCCACAUUGGGACUGAGACACGGCCCAAACUCCUACGGGAGGCAGCAGUAGGGAAUCUUCGGCAAUGGACGAAAGUCUGACCGAGCAACGCCGCGUGAGUGAAGAAGGUUUUCGGAUCGUAAAACUCUGUUGUUAGAGAAGAACAGGAGCGAUAGUAACUGCUCGCUCUUUGACGGUAUCUAACCAGAAAGCCACGGCUAACUACGUGCCAGCAGCCGCGGUAAUACGUAGGUGGCAAGCGUUGUCCGGAUUUAUUGGGCGUAAAGCGAGCGCAGGCGGUCUUUUAAGUCUGAUGUGAAAGCCCACGGCUUAACCGUGGAGGGUCAUUGGAAACUGGGAGACUUGAGUGCAGAAGAGGAAAGUGGAACUCCAUGUGUAGCGGUGGAAUGCGUAGAUAUAUGGAAGAACACCAGUGGCGAAGGCGGCUUUCUGGUCUGUAACUGACGCUGAGGCUCGAAAGCGUGGGGAGCAAACAGGAUUAGAUACCCUGGUAGUCCACGCCGUAAACGAUGAGUGCUAAGUGUUGGAGGGUUUCCGCCCUUCAGUGCUGCAGCUAACGCAUUAAGCACUCCGCCUGGGGAGUACGACCGCAAGGUUGAAACUCAAAGGAAUUGACGG
rnacentral:rRNA from 1 species